CCGAAAGGCAGGAGUGCCUGCAAGGGAGCGCGGAGACAGGUGGUGCAUGGCUGUCGUCAGCUCGUGUCGUGAGAUGUUGGGUUAAGUCCCGCAACGAGCGCAACCCUCACCUCUUGUUGCCAUCAGGUCAUGCUGGGCACUCUAGAGGAACUGCCCCGGUCAACGGGGAGGAAGGCGGGGAUGACGUCAAUUCAUGCUGCCUUUUACGUCCUGAAAUACGCCCGGGCUACUGUGUUCGGGACUCAGGCAUGCCGCACCGCGAGGUAGAGCUAAACCCAGAAAGCCCGUCUAAUUCCUCAUUGGAUGAUGCGAUGCGACUCCAUGAACGACUGAUCGCUGCGAAUCCCGUAUCCUCACGAGCCGGAGAAUACGUUCCCGGACCUUGUA
rnacentral:rRNA from 1 species